UACGUAGGGUGCGAGCGUUGUCCGGAAUUAUUGGGCGUAAAGCGCGCGUAGGCGGGUUUUUAAGUCAGGGGUGAAAUCCCAAGGCUCAACCUUGGAACUGCCUUUGAUACUGGAAAUCUUGAGUCCGGGAGAGGUGAGUGGAACUGCGAGUGUAGAGGUGAAAUUCGUAGAUAUUCGCAAGAACACCAGUGGCGAAGGCGGCUCACUGGCCCGGUACUGACGCUGAGGUGCGAAAGCGUGGGGAGCAAACAGG
rnacentral:rRNA from 1 species